GRWKGGGAGUACUACUCCACCCAUUGUGACCUUACCUAUGUUCUGUUGCCUCGGCGGCGUGGUCAGCGCCCCCUCUGAAAAGAGGACGAUGCCCUCCCGCCGGCAGCACCAAACUCUUUGAAUUUUACAGCGGAUUACAGUUCUGAUUUGAAAACAAAAAACAAGUUAAAACUUUCAACAACGGAUCUCUUGGUUCUGGCAUCGAUGAAGAACGCAGCGAAAUGCGAUAAGUAAUGUGAAUUGCAGAAUUCAGUGAAUCAUCGAAUCUUUGAACGCACAUUGCGCCCGGCAGUAAUCUGCCGGGCAUGCCUGUCCGAGCGUCAUUUCAACCCUCGAACCUCCGUUUCCUCAGGGAAGCUCAGGGUCGGUGUUGGGGCGCUACGGCGAGUCUUCGCGACCCUCCGUAGGCCCUGAAAUACAGUGGCGGUCCCGCCGCGGUUGCCUUCUGCGUAGUAAGUCUCUUUUGCAAGCUCGCAUUGGGUCCCGGCGGAGGCCUGCCGUCAAACCACCUAUAACUCCAGAUGGUUUGACCUCGGAUCAGGUAGGGUUACCCGCUGAACUUAAGCAUAUCAUAARCCSGGAGGAAA
rnacentral:rRNA from 1 species